rnacentral:lncRNA from 1 species
GUGUUUAUUCUUAGUGUAUAAUAUUCACCAGACUUUCUAAGUCCUACAGAAAAGUUCUGAGGCAGGAGAAAAGGUCCAAUCCUAAUUAGAAGCGGGUUGAUCAGAGGAAUUUAUUUAAGGGGGAUUAACUAUCCAUUCAGAAACAAAGGGUCAAAUUCUUAUUCCUUCUUAGCUUCAAAAGAAGCUCCAGGCAAAUAAGACAAGUGGAGUGAAGAGAAAGGAAAUGGAAUCUGGCUCCAUUUCUCAUCUUUCUGAAGGCACAGAAAGGAUAUGUGACUGCCUCGGGCAAGAUCCCCCUGAGUCUGACUCAUACUUCCCAUGGCUACUGGAGUAGAACGUCAUCAUCCCUUACCCUGGCAGCCCUGCGGCAAAACCACUGGCCCAGUCCUCAGUUGUCUUCCAUCACCCUGCUGAAACACGUGAGAACUUCCAAGAAGCUGGUAGGCAACCAAUCCCUUCCCUCAGCCACUUGUAGCCCGCUGUCUGGUAGCACAUGUUGUAUGCAGAUUUCAUUAAACAGAUUUAAAAUUUUUCCAUUCUGUACUUGGGCAAGCCAAAAACAAGACUCAUUGCUCUGGGAUUCUCUUAAGUUUAUUUGUUUUUUCCUGACCAUUACCCACUCCCACAGCAAAUUUUUAGUCUGGAGUAGUAAAAAUCCAUCUGACCAUUUGCUCCCCACAUUUCUCUCUCUGGCUAGCUCUGCUCUAUUGUCCUUGGAAAUAUCUCUGUCUACUCCCUUUUUAGGUGGGAUUUCUCUACUUAAUAUAUUGAGGUUUCUUUGCCGGUGACUUGAAUUAAACACAGUAUCUUCAAAUUAUACUUAUCACAUCUGUAUUUUCUGCUAAUAUAGCUAUUUCAUAAUUCAUGGAAAAUCUAAAACUAUAUAAAUCUAAGAAAUGAAAAAAUAUUUUGAAAUUUCCCUGAGAUAAUUACAAUCAAUGUUUUAUUGUACAGACUUCUCAGCCUUUCCUUAUGAAUAUAUUUUCAAUUGGCUGUAUUAUACCCAUAUAAUUUUAUACAGGUAAGAUUGUAUUAGCCAUACAUCUUUGCAAUGAC